AGUGAACGCUGGCGGUAGGCCUAACACAUGCAAGUCGAACGGCAGCACAGUAAGAGCUUGCUCUUACGGGUGGCGAGUGGCGGACGGGUGAGGAAGACAUCGGAAUCUACUUUUUCGUGGGGGAUAACGUAGGGAAACUUACGCUAAUACCGCAUACGACCUACGGGUGAAAGCAGGGGAUCUUCGGACCUUGCGCGAUUGAAUGAGCCGACGUCGGAUUAGCUAGUUGGCGGGGUAAAGGCCCACCAAGGCGACGAUCCGUAGCUGGUCUGAGAGGAUGAUCAGCCACACUGGAACUGAGACACGGUCCAGACUCCUACGGGAGGCAGCAGUGGGGAAUAUUGGACAAUGGGCGCAAGCCUGAUCCAGCAAUACCGCGUGGGUGAAGAAGGCCUUCGGGUUGUAAAGCACUUUUGUUGGGAAAGAAAAGCAGCAGGUUAAUACCCCGCUGUUCUGACGGUACCCAAAGAAUAAGCACCGGCUAACUUCGUG
rnacentral:rRNA from 1 species